rnacentral:rRNA from 1 species
UACGUAGGGCGCAAGCGUUAUCCGGAAUUAUUGGGCGUAAAGAGCUCGUAGGCGGUUUGUCGCGUCUGCCGUGAAAACUCGGGGCUUAACUCCGGGCCUGCAGUGGGUACGGGCAGACUAGAGUGCGGUAGGGGAGACUGGAAUUCCUGGUGUAGCGGUGAAAUGCGCAGAUAUCAGGAGGAACACCGGUGGCGAAGGCGGGUCUCUGGGCCGUAACUGACGCUGAGGAGCGAAAGCGUGGGGAGCGAACAGG